CGUUGUCUCCAUGAAGGAAACUUGCGGUCUGUCAGGACACGUCUGCAUCGUCGUCUUGGCUGCCUCCCCGCUCUUCAGCACAGUCACUUUGGGGAAAUGUUUCCCAGGAAAGCCACGAGAGCCCGUUCCGAAGAUCGGCUAUAAGAUAUAAGGUGUAAGAGGAAAACCUGAGAGAUGGAAGAGAGAACUGUCCAAUUGGAAAGACAAGGCAUUUCACAGGAGAGAGGAAAGAAGAAGAAGAAAUUCCAAAGGUAGUCUCAAGAGCCGUGGGGAUGCUUGAUACUGAGCACCUCUUACACGUUCCUGUGUGCCCACCAAGCCUGCUGAGGACUACUGAAUGCUUCAAAAGAAAGAUAGGACACUCCAAGCCUUGGGCAAAAUCUUUGCUGCAAAUUUAAUGGAUGGCUGUUAUUGCAACUACAUUGUGUCUCCAAUCUCAGCUGCUGGAGUAGGGGUGCAGACACCAAAGCCAAGAAAAAACAGACAAGAAGUGGAGUUUCCAGUUCAGGAGGUGAGACCAUUAAGAAGAGACUUUGCCAAGCCCAGUCAUUCUCCUUUAAACUACACUGUAGAGAAGAGCCAGGCUGUCUACUGAACUCUGAUUUUGGGGGCUUCUAGUUAAAAUGCUCUUUUGCCUGGGGCUAGGGUCAUAAGAGUCAGAAUGGGAGGCAAAUUAGGCUUAAAAUCAUGUUUUCACCAGUGUUUAAUAAAAAAUGUGAAUGUUCUCUCAGAGGAUGUUUGUAACUCAUCAGUUAGCCUAGCUUGAAACUAUGAAUGAUAAAUAAUUUAGUAGAUAUGCUACAACAAGGAUUAUAAACAUGCAAAGUGAUAUUAACAGUGUCUGAUAAAGGGAAACACUCAGAUGAGCUCUGCCUUUGAUUUUGGAAGCUGAGAUUUUUUUAAAUGCUCAUGCUUCUACAAAGGCAUAAACCCCUGCUAUGUUCAAUGUCUGCCAGUACCAUACUGUGGUUUCUUAAAUAAAGAAAUAACAACAAAGAUGAAGAAGGAUUGCUGAAGCUUUGCUCAGUAAAAACCAAUUGUAAACCAAGAAAACACAAAGAAAUUAAUCCAUAAGCUUUUUAUUUCUUCUGAUCUAAGACUGCUGUAACUGAUGGCCUGAUUUAUACCCUCAAACUUAUAUACAUUUGUUUAUCCAAGCUACAAACUUGAUUGUCUGCUUCAGAGCUGACUUGAAGCUAACCUUAAAGCUGCUUAAUAAAGCUUAGUAAUAAAACUCAGUCAAAUGUUACUGUGUUAUUAAAACAGUCUCUGCAUCUUGAGUUAUCCUUUCAUGCUAAAUACUUUUACAAAAUCAUUGAACCAAAAAUAUUAGGUGAAACUGACCGCCAAUCCAUAACCUGCUAGGACUGUACCCUUGCUGAGGAAAAAGUGAAAAUGCAGGCUACUUUUCUGUGCUUUGCAACUUACUGAAAUAUACCUUAAAAGCAAAUAUAUGAAAGAGAUAGAUAUAUCUUUUACAUAUGGGAUUGCAGAUGUAUCAAAGGGAAUAUGAUAACUUGUUGAAUAUCAAACUAUAUUAAAAGACACAGAUGUGUGGGAACUGAUGAAAACAUGACAUUAAGGAUGUGCUAGCAUUUCCAUUUACUUACAGCCCUCCCAUUAAAAGUGCCCUGAGCAUGGUAUAUAUUUAGCUACAGUUCCUCUUUCAGUCACUUCAAAGUGGAGGAGAAUCUGGGUGUAAACAGCCUCAAAAAACGACUUCACCAAGAGAAUUUCCUGUUUCUCAGAUAUGCUUUUCUCACUGCAUUUUGUUUCAUGAUACCCAAAAUUCCUUUUGAAAAUACACUUUCUAGAUCUUAGUGCUCUCAAGAACUGCCUCAAGCAUUCUCUUGCAUGAAAAUGAGGAUUCCUAGUUUGUGGUCCUGGUAGAAGUACGUAACUACUUGGCUAACAUUUUGAGGUGCAUCUAAUGAUUGCACUAUGCAACUAAGGAGGACACAAUUAAUUUAAUACUUGGACUUUUUCCAUAGCAUGCCAUUUCCUAGGGCAACCAAUGUUAGUCUAAUCCUCAAGAGGAAUUUUGCAACUUCCAAACUUCAGGCUAUUCUGCAUUACACCAAUAGCCCCUGACUAAGGCAUUUUUUGGGCA